GAAGAGGAGGACACAAACGAGAAUGAGCAGGAGGGUGCGGCAGUGGUUACAGGCCUUGGGUUCUCUGAGGAGAGUUUUGGGCCCCUGUUCUGGAGUCAGGUCGACUCCUUUCUACGCAAUUUACAUAACAACAAACAUGUCCUGUUCCGGCCUCACGCUGAGUGCCUGAUGGUCAGGGGCUGCUCCCAGCCACUCUCCGACCCUGGAGAAGGUCCCGUGCCUCCUCAGGAGCAGGAAGACCUGGGAGAGGGAGGCAAAGUCUUGCAGGGCCUAGACUCUGCUGCUGAUUUUAAAUUGGGAUAUUUUCCCUGCCAACUUUUGACGCCAAAGUCUGCAUCAUUCUGCCCUAAUGAUGAGGGUGAGUAUCAGUAUGAAAAUGCUGAUGAAGAGGAAGAGGAUGGAAAUGAAAAACCUGAAGGACUCUAAAUGGAUAUGGUCUCAGCAAAGAGCAGCUCUGGAUAAUACAGUGGGAAGGUCUAGAAAGAAGCAGACAGCAAAAGAAAAGAUGCAUUUGUUCUUCAUGGAUAUUCUUGUUUUCAUUAGCCUGAAAUACUAAUUUUGUUUCAAAGUUUCAAUGCCCCAAAAUGAUACGAACUUCUGACAUCUGACUUUACUCUUACGUUUUACAGAUAAUUUCGUAUUAUUGUUCACACUGGAAAUAAAAGUUUGUUUGAAAUUAA